rnacentral:sRNA from 1 species
AAAAUUCUCUCCAGUCUGACAGCUCAUCCAAAUGGGCUAUCGAAUAAGUCGGAUAUAGAAGCCCCAAAUGCCAACUAAUCACCCAUAAUAACCAAAUAAAUCAUAAGCCCGUGAUGGGGCCUGAAUCCAGAAGAAGAAGCUGUCAGAGCCAUAUAAACUAGCAGCUAGCUGGAAGUGCUGACAGGCGGAGAGUUGGAAUGGACGGGUGGUGGAAAAUCCAGUGAGGCAAGUCCCUGUCGAAGUACUAAAUUAUGACUAGAUCGGCGGCAGUAUCUGAGCACCGUAACUGCAGGGACAUGUAAAAUUUAUGCAGCAAAACUGAGCUGAACUGAAAACGAAACGCAGCCGAAUGCAGCGGGGUAAUCCUGGAGACAUGGGCGACAUGGAAAAGAUGAUGUCAUAAUAAACUGUAAUUUAUGGGAGGAGUGCUGACAGUUGAAGCUCGCUGACUUAAGCUCGAGAAUAUCGGGGC